GAGAAAUGCUUACAAGAAACUGGACGAGGAUAAAGCAAAGACGAAGGGACUGAAAGAAAGCUUGAGUUGCAUCAUUGCCAUCUCCUGCAAAAUCAGACUUCAGCUUCUGUUCAGCUUCUGUUUGGAACUAAAAACACCUCAUGUUUCUUCCUGAGAGGCAUGAGCAAUUGCAUGAAUACUGUAUUCUCUGAUAGUUUCCAGCAUGAUUCCAUCCAAGGUUCUGUGACAAGCCUGCAUGAUAAGUGUCACUUCAUUCUGAUCUUCCUGAUGGCUCUAAGAGGGGAGAACCGGUACCUAGAGCUGCGGGAAGCGGCGGACCACGACCCUUUCCUGCUCUUCGGCGCCAACCUGAAGCGGGAGCUGGCGGGGGAGCCUGUGUACCGCCGCGCUCUGCGGUGCCUGGACAUGCUGAGCCUCCCGGGCCAGUUCACCUUCACCGCCGACCGGCCGCAGCUGCACUGCGCCGCCUUCCUCAUCGCGGAGCCGGAGGAGUUCAUCACCAUCCACUACGACCUGGUCUCCAUAGACUGUCAGCGCGGCGACUUCCUGAAGGUAUUUGAUGGUUGGAUUCUCAAGGGAGAGAAGUUUCCCAGUUCCCAGGAUCAUCCUCUCGCCACAACUGAGCGGUACAUAGAUUUCUGUGACAGUGGUCUUAGCCGAAGGAGCAUCAGAUCGUCCCAGAACGUGGCCAUGAUCUUCUUCCGGGUUCAUGAACCAGGAAAUGGAUUCACCUUCACCAUAAAGACAGACCCCAACCUCUUUCCCUGCAAUGCGAUUUCUCAGACCCCCAGUGGAAGGUUCACCCUGGUUGUCCCGCACCUGCGUCGCAACUGCAGCUUCUCCAUAAUUUAUCCUGUGGUGAUCAAAAUAUCGGAUCUCACCCUGGGACACUUACAUGGUCGGCAGUUAAAGAACCCCUCAGCAGGUUGUGGGGGAAUAGGAGACUUUGUGGAGCUGCUGGGAGGACCUGGGCUGGACCCUUCCAAGAUGAUGCCUUUGGCUGACCUCUGCUAUUCCUUUCACGGCCCUGCCCAAAUGAAAAUUGGCUGUGACAACACGGUGGUGCGCAUGGUCUCCAGCGGAAAGCACAUGAAUCGUGUGACUUUUGAGUACCGCCAGCUGGAACCAUAUGAACUGGAAAACCCAAGUGGAAACAGUAUCCAAGAAAUCUGUCUGUCUAGUGUUUGAGUAACCAACCCCAGUGAUUUACAUGCUGCUAGCUAAUCCCUUUAGCAACCUAAGAAUGAAUGCAGUGACAUCACUGUCAGCAGUUUCUGGCUUUUAACCCUCAUGAUCCUGUAUGCUGAGUACAGAAAAUGGCCUGAGAAAUGAGUGACCAAUGUAAGCAAAUUUUUGCCUGAACGGAUCUGGAAAGAAGAAACAAUAGCCUCCAUGUAUUGAGAACUUAUGCUUCUCUGUAUUUCUGAACCUCUUCGUGGAUAAAAGGGUAAAAUGGAGCAAGCUGCAUAAAAUGAGGCAACAAAGGUCUUGCACCACAAACGGCCCCGGCCGCCUGACCAUGGAUGGCGCAGGAGAGCUCUGCGGCGGGAUGAGCACGAGGCGAGGCCCCGAGGCAUCGCCAGCGUCUGCGUGGGUACUGCUGCCGGUUCAGCUUCGGAGCUUGCCUCUUCCCGGGACGAAAUGCCUGACGAAUGUGGAUUUUUAAAAAAUGGACUCAGUGGUGCCUGGUGGUUCAGUCAGUUAAGUAUCUAGCUCUUGAUCUCAGCUCAGGUCUUGAUCUCGGAGUCUUGAUCUCCGGGUCGUGAGUUUGGGCCCCACGUUGGGCUCCACGCUGGACUUGGAGCCUAUUUAAAAAAAAAAAAAAAGUGGCCUGAGAUAUUUUAAGUCCAGGUUGAAAAACGAAAGCAAAACGCCAGCUCCCCGCAGCAGGUGGAGGCUGAAAUUCCUGUCGGAGUUCCUCCUGAAGUAAUCGUAUGCUAGCUGCCUCUCCACUUGCAUUCUUGCCCUAUCCUGUCCUUCUCAUCACAUCCCUUUUCUUUCCGCUGUUGGAGCUAAGUGUAACAGAAUGUGCAGAGAAUAAACAGGCCCUCAGCCUUCCGAGCUGCAGAGUGGUACCCAGCAGUGCAGUGGACAGGAAACACUCUGGGUGGUAAUUGCUGUUCAGAAACCCUGGCUGCGUUUAAUUCUUGUGGGUCCUUCUCCUGCUACAGUGAUGCUCUUCUUUGUCACAGACAACAGUCUUGUCCCUGGAACCUGUGAUCUCUCUGCUCCCACACUCUGGACCAGCAAGCUGCGGCCUGACUUGUGAAGCCUAGCUGAACUUGGAAGGAAACAGCUGGAGACACUGAUGAUGUCACAGAUUUUAUUCAUUCAUUUGAAAGAGAGAGAGAAUGGGAGAGCAAGAGAGCAUGAGCUGGAG